UACGGAGGGUCCAAGCGUUAUCCGGAAUCAUUGGGUUUAAAGGGUCCGUAGGCGGCCUUAUAAGUCAGUGGUGAAAUCUCCCGGCUCAACCGGGAAAUUGCCAUUGAUACUGUAGGGCUUGAAUUAUUAGGAAGUAACUAGAAUAUGUAGUGUAGCGGUGAAAUGCUUAGAUAUUACAUGGAAUACCGAUUGCGAAGGCAGGUUACUACUAAUGGAUUGACGCUGAUGGACGAAAGCGUGGGUAGCGAACAGG
rnacentral:rRNA from 1 species